GUGGGGAAUAUUGGACAAUGGGCGAAAGCCUGAUCCAGCAAUGCCGCGUGAGUGAUGAAGGCCUUAGGGUUGUAAAGCUCUUUUACCAGGGAUGAUAAUGACAGUACCUGGAGAAUAAGCUCCGGCUAACUCCGUGCCAGCAGCCGCGGUAAUACGGAGGGAGCUAGCGUUGUUCGGAAUUACUGGGCGUAAAGCGCGCGUAGGCGGCUACUCAAGUCAGAGGUGAAAGCCCGGGGCUCAACCCCGGAACUGCCUUUGAAACUAGGUAGCUAGAAUCUUGGAGAGGUCAGUGGAAUUCCGAGUGUAGAGGUGAAAUUCGUAGAUAUUCGGAAGAACACCAGUGGCGGAGGCGACUGACUGGACAAGUAUUGACGCUGAGGUGCGAAAGCGUGGGGAGCAAACAGGAUUAGAUACCCCAGUAGUCC
rnacentral:rRNA from 1 species